rnacentral:rRNA from 1 species
CUGUUGACGUGAACCCAAGAAGAAGCACCGGCUAACUCCGUGCCAGCAGCCGCGGUAAUACGGGGGGUGCAAGCGUUAAUCGGAAUCACUGGGCGUAAAGGGUGCGUAGGCGGUACGUUAGGUCUGUCGUGAAAUCCCCGGGCUCAACCUGGGAAUGGCGGUAGAAACCGGCGAACUAGAGUAUGGGAGAGGGUGGUGGAAUUCCAGGUGUAGCGGUGAAAUGCGUAGAGAUCUGGAGGAACAUCAGUGGCGAAGGCGGCCACCUGGCCCAAUACUGACGCUGAGGCACGAAAGCGUGGGGAGCAAACAGGAUUAGAUACCCUGGUAGUCCACGCCCUAAACGAUGAAUACUAGAUGUUUGGUACCUAGCGUACUGAGUGUCGUAGCUAACGCGAUAAGUAUUCCGCCUGGGAAGUACGGCCGCAAGGUUAAAAACUCAAAGGAAUUGACGGGGGCCCGCACAAGCGGUGGAGCAUGUGGUUUAAUUCGAUGCAACGCGAAGAACCUUACCUGGGCUUGACAUGUCCGGAAUCCUGCAGAGAUGC